AACCCAAAGCGUCGAGUUCGGUGGUUGUAGAAUUCGAAUCGACACGGACACAAGAAAGGGUGGAGAGCUCGUCUCCCUCUUUGCCUGUCGGCGUCAGCAUGCGGCGACGACGAAGAAGCAGGCGACGCCAUGCCCCACCACUCACCUCUUUGCAGUGCUGCUUGCUGCUGCUCCAGGGCUUUCACCUGGCCGUUAAGUCCCACAUCGCCAAUUUAACUGUAGAAAAGAGGCGACUUAAGCAAUUGCCCUUGCCUGCAGGUUGUCUCUUCGGAGACAUCCGAUAAAAUUGGAACGAUACAGAGAAGAUUAGCAUGGCCCCUGCGCAAGGAUGACACGCAUAAAUCGAGAAAUGAUGUGCCAAAAGGAAUCUGUUGUUUGCUUCCCUUUGCCCAAUGGUUUCAUGAUGGCUAACUCUGGAGUACUGAAAAAUCCAACAUGCGUAGAGGAAAAACCAGACAUUUUCCAAGGUGUGCUUAAUGGCUGACCUCACAACAAUGGCAAAUUUUGAAGCUGAUGUUAACCUUCUACAUUUUAAUCUAAAUUUCUUGGCCUGUAGACAAAAUUUAGGGCUUCCAAAUAGGGAGAAAUAUCUCAGGCAAUAUGAAUUGUAAGGUCAAUUUUUUGUUGUUUGGAAACAUCCUUGGGCAUUCUUGAUAAGUGCGCAUGCUUUGUUUUGUUUUGUUUUAGUGGCUUAUAUUUAUGUACAAAUACAGAAGGGGAGCCUGACCUAGAGAUCACAGGUUCAAAUCUCGGAAACAACCUUUUGCAAAGUAAGGUUGCAUACAAUAGAUUCUUCCCCGGUUGGCGAGAGUUUCGUGCACCAGACUGCUCUUUAUAUUUAUGUACAGAUACCAACUUUAAUAGAACCAUCAAAUCAACGUUAAAGAAGACUUACAACAGUUGAUGGAUCAGAUUUGAGUCAAGAAGUUUUACAGUUUUUAGAAGUGGGCAUGACACUACAGUUGCAAGACUCAAAUGAAAAUCAUGUCUUCAAAUAUCACCAAUCCACUGUAUACCGGCACAAUCAAAUAACUAAUUUGACUGAGGAUGCAGAAAGAACUAUUAUAUACAGUAGAACUUUCCAAAAUUCUCCACUUGCUCCACAAUACUUUCUGCCUCCUCUGUCAACCCCGAGCAGAUGAUCUACUUCUUGCAGACAAAAAUUUGCAAGGGCAUAGCACUCCAGUAUAGGCAUUGUAAUGAGAAAAGAAGUCUCCGGUGUUAUUGUCCUCAUGCAGAUGCAUUUAUACACCAAAUCAGUGAAGCUUUUCCCAGUGGCUUGGAUAUCUUAAAUAACUUAAAUGGCUUUCCAUGCAUUCUGCAGUUAUUUUGGGAUGCAUCAAGGGGAAUUCUGUAUAUGAUUUCAAUGCUCAAUAGCAAUUAACUUAUCCGUCAAAAUAGAAUUGUGUUUCAGUAUAGCUCUAACAAAGGCCUUUUAAGGUGUAUCCUGUGUUAUCUUUGAUAAUGUUGCGGCAUCGAUCAUAAGUAUCAGUUAAUGAGUCUCUGUUAAGAGCAUAUGGGGACUUGCUUGUGGGCAAAGAAUCCAUCUGUUGCUGGGGAUUGAAAUUUCAUCUAGUGAAGUCACAACAUAUUUGGAGACAGAUUCCUUAUUAUGGUUUAUCUAUCUCAUCUUGCUAUUGACAAAUUAUUAACCUAAAUGGAAUAGAGGUUUGUGUCAGGCUCCUUAAGCUUGCUGAAUCUAUCUUCUUUGGUUUUGUUCCCUCUAGAUAUGCAAAAUAGUACUAUAAGACAAAAUAGUACUAUCUCCUUAACCCUUUUUUGGGAUACUUAUUGGAUAGCCUUUGCUUUCACUAUGGUUGCAAUACUAGUUGUUAUCGUGCUGUUUGAGCUUCUGAUCGUGUUUUUAUCUGAUGAUGCCUUCACAAGAAAGGCAACUAAGGGUUGAAUUACUGGGAUAGAAGAUAAGAGGGAGAGGAAGGAAAGUGAUAAAAUGAUUUUUGCUCUUCUUAUAUGUCUAUGCAAGUAAUUGGACCGUAAAGUAGAAAGGAAGAACAAUGAAACGAUAGAUUCCUGAUAAGUUCCUGUUGUUCGAUGUGUGUCUUCAUAUCCGAAUUGGAGUGGAGUUGUUGAUUCAGUUGUGUGACUCAGCCAAUUUAAAUGAAUGCACCUUGAAUCAGGAGGCAGGUCGAGGUCACGUUUUGCUUCAGAGGAACUAGUUGAACUGUAUUAACUUCAAUUUGAUUUUGAUUGUGAAUGGAAGCUUUUAUUUUUUAAACAAGGAGUAAUAAUCAAAGUUGACGU